rnacentral:rRNA from 1 species
UACGUAGGGGGCUAGCGUUGUCCGGAAUCAUUGGGCGUAAAGCGCGUGUAGGCGGUCCGGUAAGUCCGCUGUGAAAGUCGGGGGCUCAACCCUCGGAUGCCGGUGGAUACUGUCGGGCUUGAGUACGGAAGGGCGAGUGGAAUUCCUGGUGUAGCGGUGAAAUGCGCAGAUAUCAGGAGGAACACCAAUGGCGAAGGCAGCUCGCUGGGACGUGACUGACGCUGAGACGCGAAAGCGUGGGGAGCAAACAGG